rnacentral:rRNA from 1 species
AUUGAACGCUGGCGGCAGGCCCAACACAUGCAAGUCGAGCGGAUGAAGGGAGCUUGCUCCUGGAUUCAGCGGCGGACGGGUGAGUAAUGCCUAGGAAUCUGCCUGGUAGUGGGGGAUAACGUCCGGAAACGGGCGCUAAUACCGCAUACGUCCUGAGGGAGAAAGUGGGGGAUCUUCGGACCUCACGCUAUCAGAUGAGCCUAGGUCGGAUUAGCUAGUUGGUGGGGUAAAGGCCUACCAAGGCGACGAUCCGUAACUGGUCUGAGAGGAUGAUCAGUCACACUGGAACUGAGACACGGUCCAGACUCCUACGGGAGGCAGCAGUGGGGAAUAUUGGACAAUGGGCGAAAGCCUGAUCCAGCCAUGCCGCGUGUGUGAAGAAGGUCUUCGGAUUGUAAAGCACUUUAAGUUGGGAGGAAGGGCAGUAAGUUAAUACCUGGCUGUUUGGACGUUACCAACAGAAUAAGCACCGGCGAACUUCGU